CGUUGACCCGAGCUGGUUGCGAGAGCGGAUGGAGUGGCGGCUUCACGGAUUCCUUAUUGGAGGUGCCGGUAUGCACGCACGCCUUCUUGAUUUUGUGCCUGCCUCUUUCCUGACAGAAUUCUGACUCUGCCUGGGCGUUCUCCUACUUUGUGUGUGUUCAGAACGAUGCACUAAUGCAGGUUUCGUAUACACAUGCUUUUCUUUUUUCUUCUUCGUAUGCAUAUCUGUGAAUCUUGUGAGCCAUGAUUGGCAUGCUGCUAUGUAUGUCACUCUGUCACUUAGAGGUGCUGCUACUACCUAAUUUUUAUGCUAGAAAUAACUACCAAAUACAGACAGAAUGUACAAAUUUAUUACACAUGAUUGAGGGCAAUAAUCUAUAUAUUUCCUGCAGUACCUGUCAGCCCGCUGACGAACUCGUGAAAUAUGGAUAGAGCUGCCACCUGAUCACCGGGGCCAAGAGGGAGCCCCAAAUAAACCAUUUCCUCUAUUAUAAUCAGAUUUUUGCACAGAGCUAAGGGAUGGUUUCAUUGAAUAGCUCUUGUGUUCAUCUAAUAGUUAGUUUGGUAUGUCUUUGAGAGACAGUAUGGAUUCCUACUAAAUGCAUUUAAUUUUGGGGUUUUUGAUAAUGCACAUAACCAUGGCAUUUUCUUCUGGAAUGUUUGUUUUCAGCAUCUGCUUCAUCUUGCGAUUAUAUAGGUUGUAAGAAAGAGCCAAGAUUAAAACUGGUGCAUAGCAUCCAGGUUUUUGUCGAACUGCGAUGGAGAUCGCUCUUCUGUUGUUGGAUGUGAGAGCCCCUCUCAUGCCGGAGAACACUAUACAUGUUUUUUGUGUUCCCUAUUAACAGCUAUAAGUGCAGCGGGGUUAAAACAGUGUGGCGGGAAACAUGAGAGAAGAUGAUUGUACGUGGUAUAUGUAUGAUAGAAUUAAUGGAAGCGAUUGGCUUAGUAAGUUUACAUGGAGAAACAGUUCAAGAAAUAUCUUGUUUGAACAGCUUAGCAUGUUUUUUCUUUGACUCCUUUGCCUUUGAAGUUUUGACAUGCUGUUCUUAUUCAUCUCAAGCUGAGCAAGAUGCUAUCCAGUACCUGUGUAGAGAGCUUGAGAACUACGGAUUGCUCCUGUGUGAGAGAAGUCUGAUCAGCCAAUUUCUAUAUAUAAUGUAGCUACUUUUAUAUCUUUGUCAGUGAAAAAUAUUGCUUUGUUCUUUCCUGAUCCUAUUUUGUUAGCAUGCUAUUUUAUAUUUUUGGGCCUACCUUAAGAAACAUAACAUUAGUGAUGUCUUAAGCAUAUGAUGGUUUGAAUGGUUAUUAUUCACUAUGGGUGCAUGGCUAUUCUUGGGUUUGAGCCUUAGGCAUGCAACAAUGAGAUCUAAUUGCAUUGUUUGUUAACUAUUUAAACCAAAAUCAUUCAUCAAUCUUGAUCGGAAAUCUUAUCCCAAUACUUUUGAUACUGUGCUUCGAUUUUGAUAACAAAAUUUGUUUCAACUUGCCAUGUGGAAAAUCAAGUAAGAGCAUAUCCAUGUUUACUUAUUAGUUUGUUUUCUAAGAAUGGUGCGAGAUUUACAAAUUGAAAAAGUAAUUAUUGUUUGAAAAUCAUUUUUAACAAAAAAACAUUUGAAAAAUUUGUUAUGAUAUGGUUGUUUGACUGAUUGCGAUGUUGUUUUAGUGGUAGUUUUUUUCAACUGUCUAAGCAUAUAUCUAUUUUUUGUACACCAGGUGCAACGCACGGGACUUUUUGCUAGUCUCUCCCUAAUAAUAAAGCACGGAUUGGGUCUCCGGGUUCACCGUCACAAUACGCUUCUUCCCGUGUAUGACAGGAACAAUAACUAGCAUGAACCUGGAGGAGUAAGAAGCAGCGACAUCUGGGUUUGCAAUGGCCAAAGAACUCAACAAUUCAUAGUUGGGUCACUUAUUUCUCCCCGGCUCGGUGACUUGGUCAACUGCGCACUUCAGAAGAAUAAGUACUUCUGAAUGUUAAAGCCAAUGUGGGCUAGCAAACUGUAGAGAUAAUUGAUUUGUUUCCAUGUCUACCUUACAGUAUUCAGACUUGGGAGAGAAGGUGCCUCAUGGUAGAAGCUUGACAUAGGUGUGGCCUUGAAUGCCAAGAUUUUUAUGAGUAGCCUCAGCCUUCUGUUCUCCCUACAGAUUCGGGAUUCAAAAUAUCAAUGGGAGUUUGUUUCACACAGUACAAGAGCAAUGUACUGAUGCAUUUUAACUGUCGUUGUGUGUUUUAACAGAAGAAUACUUUCUGAUGUUUUAGUGACCAAGUGUUACUGAUCUUGAGGUGUGUUAUUGAUCUCUGUUUCUAUAUAGAUGGUGCUUUUUUGUACUUUCUGAAGAACAAUUCCAUGCAAGACACCAUCAAAAAGCCUGCUACUGCAGAUGCUUCCUCGCGGAAUCACAGCUUGAUGGAGCUUGCUGCACCUCUGGAACAAGCAGCCGCUUACAAAGAGAAGCUUGAAGGCUCAAACAGAUGUACAUAACGAAAUUCAGAGUUCCAACAGUGCAUAUGUGCAAGAGCGUAGUUCACUUGGAAUUUGCUCGUGGUGGAGACGUUCCACCCACAAAAAAAAAAGGUGAAGACGUCCUGAAACUUCAUGAGGCAUGGGCGAUACAGAUAGGGCGGAGUCGGAACCAUGUGCAAGAUAGAGACACUAUCAAUCAUCGGUGAAUCCGGUCCAGGAACUCAAAUGUUGGCGUCCAUGGCACAAGGAGGUGCUUUUCGGAGCAAGCAACCUAGCAAGUGCAUCAGUGAUCAUUGUCAAUUUGGCUAGAAGUAUGUACAUUUCCCUACUACAAUUCCUUUCAAUUUGGCUAGAAGUAUGUACAUCUCCCUACUACAAUUCCUUCAAACAUGCUGACACAUAUAUGCUUACGGACAUGUGAUUUUUUCUAGUAAUAAUAAAGCACGG